rfam:Ixodes scapularis strain Wikel colony gcontig_1108379653196, whole genome shotgun sequence.
GCAGUCGUGGCCGAGAGGUUAGGGCAAUGGACUAGAAAUCCAUUGGGGUCUCCCCGCACAAGUUUGGAUCCUGUCGACUGCG